AUUGAACGCUGGCGGCAGGCCUAACACAUGCAAGUCGAGCGGAUGAAGGGAGCUUGCUCCUGGAUUCAGCGGCGGACGGGUGAGUAAUGCCUAGGAAUCUGCCUGGUAGUGGGGGAUAACGUCCGGAAACGGGCGCUAAUACCGCAUACGUCCUGAGGGAGAAAGUGGGGGAUCUUCGGACCUCACGCUAUCAGAUGAGCCUAGGUCGGAUUAGCUAGUUGGUGGGGUAAAGGCCUACCAAGGCGACGAUCCGUAACUGGUCUGAGAGGAUGAUCAGUCACACUGGAACUGAGACACGGUCCAGACUCCUACGGGAGGCAGCAGUGGGGAAUAUUGGACAAUGGGCGAAAGCCUGAUCCAGCCAUGCCGCGUGGGUGAAGAAGGUCUUCGGAUUGUAAAGCCCUUUUAGUUGGGAGGAAGGGCAGUAAGUUAAUACCUUGCUGUUUUGACGUUACCAACAGAAUAAGCACCGGCUAACUUCGUG
rnacentral:rRNA from 1 species